rnacentral:rRNA from 1 species
UACGAAGGGGGCUAGCGUUGCUCGGAAUCACUGGGCGUAAAGGGUGCGUAGGCGGGUUUUUAAGUCAGGGGUGAAAUCCUGGAGCUCAACUCCAGAACUGCCUUCGAUACUGGAGAGCUUGAGUCCGGGAGAGGUGAGUGGAACUGCGAGUGUAGAGGUGAAAUUCGUAGAUAUUCGGAAGAACACCAGUGGCGAAGGCGGCUCACUGGUCCGGUACUGACGCUGAGGUGCGAAAGCGUGGGGAGCGAACAGG